GAACCCAGCUUCUUUCCUCCAGGUCACCAAGGUCCUGGGCAGGACCGGUUCUCAGGGACAGUGCACGCAGGUGCGCGUGGAAUUCAUGGACGACACGAGCCGAUCCAUCAUCCGCAAUGUAAAAGGCCCCGUGCGCGAGGGCGACGUGCUCACCCUUUUGGAGUCAGAGCGAGAAGCCCGGAGGUUACGCUGAGCUUGGCUGCUCGCUGGGUCUUGGAUGUCGGGUUCGACCACUUGGCCGAUGGGAAUGGUCUGUCACAAUCUGCUCCUUUUUUUUUGUCCGCCACACGGAAUUGAGAUGCUCCUUUAAAUAAAGCGUUUGUGUUUCAAGUUAA
rnacentral:sRNA from 1 species